UACGAAGGGGGCUAGCGUUGCUCGGAAUCACUGGGCGUAAAGGGUGCGUAGGCGGGUCUUUAAGUCAGGGGUGAAAUCCUGGAGCUCAACUCCAGAACUGCCUUUGAUACUGGGAAUCUCGAGUCCGGGAGAGGUGAGUGGAACUGCGAGUGUAGAGGUGAAAUUCGUAGAUAUUCGCAAGAACACCAGUGGCGAAGGCGGCUCACUGGCCCGGUACUGACGCUGAGGUGCGAAAGCGUGGGGAGCGAACAGG
rnacentral:rRNA from 1 species